rnacentral:lncRNA from 10 species
GAAAAAAAUGCGCCGGCCCCAGAGCUGCCGCCGACUGUUAAGGAAGGCCCUUUGCACCCAAGAAUGGAAGCGGGAAAAGAAGUGCCGCGUUGGUGUGGCUGAGAAACGCCUCCUGGAAGAAGGGGCCUGACCCUGGAGCUGCCAUGUUGGCACUUUUCUUCCAACCGCAGCCCGCCAGGCACAAACGCGAAGUCCCUGGAAGCGCAGCUCGAAAAGACAGGCGGCCCUCCAGGCUCCCUCCCUGGCGCUCCGGGCUCCACGCGGCCCUCGGCGCACUCGGAGCAGAGGGAUGGGGACCCCGCCGAGGAUCCAGGCCACCUGGGCAGGCCGGGUGCUCAGGACGCAGCCCGGGCUGUCCCAUCGAAGGUGACAGCUCGCCCACCUCCCUGUGGCCUCGGGCGGGCCACGCUGUCAUCCCUUGGAGGCUCCCCGCCAGGGGCCUGGCCUGAGCGCUAGGAUGACAGGUGUGGGAUGGUGAGGCUGCCUCCUCUGAGUUAGGUCAGAUAGCCCAGAAUAUCUGCUUUGGAACGGAAAGGCCCCCCAUUUAUGUCACUGAUGCUCGGCUGGUCAAUAAAGCAGGACACAGAAGUUGUAGGAAAAUUGAUACUCCUCACCCCCGAUUCAAUAGAGCUAUUUUCACUGGUAGUUCAAAAGAAAAUGUGGCCAGGCGCAGUGGCUCACGCCUGUAAUCCCAGCACUUUUGGGAGGCCGAGGUGGGUGGAUCGCUUGAGGUCAGGAGUUCGAGACCAGCCUCGCCAACAAGGUGAAACCCCAACAAGGUGAAACCCCGUCUCUAAUAAAAAUACAAAAAGUAGCCGGGCGUGAUGGCGGUUGCCUGUAAUCCCAGCUACUCAGGAGGCUGGGGCAGGAGAAUCGCUUGAACCCGGGAAGCAGAGGUUGCAGUGAGGUGAGAUGGUGAUGGUGCCACUGCACUCCAGCCUGGGUGACAGAGUGCAACUCUGCCUCAAAAAAAAAAAAAAAAAGAAUAUGUGGGCAUAUUUUAAAACCACCACAGCUAGUAAUAGUCAUAACAAAGAAUUAUAUCAUUUAUUCAUUUAUUUGCAAGACUAUCAUAUUUUAAAUGCUGCUCCUCCUGAUGUUAGAAAGUGUCUGGUUUUUUUUUUGUUUUUUUUUUUUACCAUAUUUGACAAUAACAUAAGUCUAUUGGAGAAAUUUUUACUGUAGUGUAUUUAUUUUUUUGAGAAGGUCUUGCUGUGUUACCCAGGCUGGAGUGAGUGAAGCAGUCACAGCUCACUGCAGCCUCAGCCUCCCAAGCUCAAACCAUUCUCCCAUCUCAGCCUCCCCCACAUCAGCCUCCCUACUAACUGGGACUACAGGCAAGCACCACUGUGCUUGGCAAUUUAUUUUAUUAUUUUAUUUUAUUUUAUAAUUUUUUGUAGAGACAAGGUCUCACUAUGUUGCCCAGGCUGGUCUUGAACUCCUGGGCUUAUGCAAUCCUCCGCUUCAGCCUCCCAAAGUGCUGAGAUUACAGAUGUGAGCAUACACCAUAUCUAUUAAAAUUAAAUAGUGUAUUUAAUAAUUUCUUUUUAUGAAGUUAAAAACAAUAGUCCUCAAAAGAAAGAGUUUCUUAAAAACUCAUUUAAUUAAAGAAUUAAGCUUUACGCAAAACAGAUUAUAUCCACCGAUGGUUACAAACAUCAAAAUUAUUCAAAAGUCCCCCCAAACACUUCAUCCUGGAAUUUUAACUAAUGCCUGAAAUUAACUAAUGCAGGAAACUUUAACUUAAGAACUUUCCUGAUUCUUUAAACCAAAUGUAGAGUUACUCUAUGGGGCUUCAAGCCCCUACCUUCUUUAUUUGGUCCUUUACAGUCUAAACCCUUUGGACAUCACUAACUUAAAGGUUACUUUGAUUUCAACUAUCUUCUUUAUACUCAUCUCUAUUUUCUGAUUUUUCUAAAGUGAGUUUAUGUUGUUUUCAUAAUUUUUAUAAAAGUUAUUUUCAUUUUUAAAAUUAACUUCAACUCUAAGAAAUUUUUCAGGUCACA